UGGGGAAUAUUGGACAAUGGGCGAAAGCCUGAUCCAGCCAUGCCGCGUGUGUGAAGAAGGCCUUUUGGUUGUAAAGCACUUUAAGUGGGGAGGAAAAGCUUAUGGUUAAUACCCAUAAGCCCUGACGUUACCCACAGAAUAAGCACCGGCUAACUCUGUGCCAGCAGCCGCGGUAAUACAGAGGGUGCAAGCGUUAAUCGGAAUUACUGGGCGUAAAGCGCGCGUAGGUGGUUAUUUAAGUCAGAUGUGAAAGCCCCGGGCUUAACCUGGGAACUGCAUCUGAUACUGGAUAACUAGAGUGGGUGAGAGGGGAGUAGAAUUCCAGGUGUAGCGGUGAAAUGCGUAGAGAUCUGGAGGAAUACUGAUGGCGAAGGCAGCUCCCUGGCAUCAUACUGACACUGAGGUGCGAAAGCGUGGGUAGCAAACAGGAUUAGAUACCCUGGUAGUCCACGCCGUAAACGAUGUCUACCAGUCGUUGGGUCUUUUAAAGACUUAGUGACGCAGUUAACGCAAUAAGUAGACCGCCUGGGGAGUACGGCCGCAAGGUUA
rnacentral:rRNA from 1 species